UCCGUAGAUAUAACUGAAGGCCUCUGCUUGGCUUUCCGUAUGACGUCACGCGCGUUAUUUUUUAUAGUCCACCGGCAGUAGGCGACGAGCCGCCGGCUUGGGAACACGUCUUUUUGUGAUCGUGGAAUGUCGUGCCUGCAGUGUGCUACCUCGGCGUGUGAUGAGUGCGCGCGCGAUAUUGCAGUCUCUGCGUGGUCGUGUUACUGAUUUGUGGACAUAAGAGACGUACCACUUAAGCGUUGUGUGCAGAGGUGCCGCGCAAACUACCCUAUCAAGCCGGUGUUGUUCUACUUCCCGAAGGACGAAAGCCGCCGUCAUAAGUUGUUAUGGGCUAUACUGGGGAAGCAAUACGAAGCGAACAGCUCUACGUAGGUGCAAAGAUAAACGAAUGUUGAACUUCCAAGUACUUACUGCCAAUUUCCAUCUCUUCGAUUUCAUUAUCAGCAUCUGCAAAAUGUACAAGGAGGAUUGUGGCUCAAACAAAUAGUGAAAGAUGCAAGUCCUGCAAAGCCCUUCAAAAAAGACCUGAAGCAAAUUCUCUAACCUAAUAGAGUCCAGUCUGUCUCGCAACUCCUUCACAGGAUCAACUUUUUCAGGCU